AUUGAACGCUGGCGGCAUGCUUUACACAUGCAAGUCGAACGGCAGCGCGGGCUUCGGCCUGGCGGCGAGUGGCGAACGGGUGAGUAAUGCAUCGGAACGUGCCCAGUAGUGGGGGAUAGCCCGGCGAAAGCCGGAUUAAUACCGCAUACGACCUGAGGGUGCAAGCGGGGGACCGAAAGGCCUCGCGCUAUUGUAGCGGCCGAUGUCGGAUUAGCUAGUUGGUGGGGUAAAGGCUUACCAAGGCGACGAUCCGUAGCUGGUCUGAGAGGACGACCAGCCACACUGGGACUGAGACACGGCCCAGACUCCUACGGGAGGCAGCAGUGGGGAAUUUUGGACAAUGGGGGCAACCCUGAUCCAGCCAUGCCGCGUGCGGGAAGAAGGCCUUCGGGUUGUAAACCGCUUUUGUUCGGGAAGAAAUCCUCUGGGCUAAUACCCCGGGGGGAUGACGGUACCGGAAGAAUAAGCACCGGCUAACUACGUG
rnacentral:rRNA from 1 species